rnacentral:tRNA from 1 species
AGCUAAACAGGACGACAGCGUCAGCCUUUUAAGCUGAAGAAUGGUGCCCUCCAAACACCCUUAGCGAC